rnacentral:rRNA from 1 species
CAAUUCCAGUUGAUCCUGCUGGAGGGUAUCGCUAUUGGAGUCUGAUUAAGCCAUGCAAGUCAGAGGGCAACCUCGGCGAACGGCUCAGUAACACGUAGGUAACCUACCCUGAGGUCCGGGAUAUCCUUGGGAAACUGAGGGUAAUACCGGAUAGGAUAUGGGUACUGGAAUGUCCUAUAUCCCAAAGGCUUGCCGCCUCAGGAUGGGCCUGCGGCGGAUUAGGUUGUUGGUGAGGUAAUGGCUCACCAAGCCGAUAAUCCGUACGGGCGAUGUGAGUCGGAGCCCGGAGAAGGGGACUGAGACAAGGCCCCUAGCCCUACGGGGUGCAGCAGGCGCGAAAACUUCGCAAUGCGCGAAAGCGUGACGAGGAGACUCCAAGUGACCCAGUUCUGCUGGGUCUUUUCCCGACUGUAAAAAGGUCGGGGAAUAAGGACUGGGCAAGACCCGUGCCAGCCGCCGCGGUAAUACGGGCAGUCCAAGUGAUACCCACGUAUACUGGGCUUAAAGCGUCCGUAGCCGGCCUGGUAAGUUUCUGGUGAAAUCCCGUCGCUUAACGGCGGGAAGUGCUAGAAAUACUGCCAGGCUUGGAGGCGGGAGAGGGCAGAGGUACGUCAGGGGUAGCGGUUAAAUGCUAUAAUCCUUGACGGACCACCGGUAGCGAAGGCGUCUGCCUGGAACGCGCUCGACGGUGAGGGACGAAGGCCAGGGGAGCAACCCGGAUUAGAUACCCGGUUAGUCCUGGCAGUAAAUGAUGCAGACUUUGUGUCGCAGAAGCCACGAGCUUCUGCGGUGCCGGAGGGAAACCGUUAAGUCUGCCGCCUGGGGAGUACGGUCGCAAGGCUGAAACUUAAAGGAAUUGGCGGGGGAG